rnacentral:tRNA from 1 species
GGCCUCGUAGCUCAGUUGGCUAGAGCGUUGGUUGUACUAAAGCCUUCCCCUUGCUGGCGUGGGUUCGAAUCGCACCAAGGCCG